rnacentral:rRNA from 1 species
GGAUCAGUGGCGAACGGGUGAGUAACACGUGAGCAACCUGCCCCUGACUCUGGGAUAAGCGCUGGAAACGGCGUCUAAUACUGGAUAUGAGCUGCGACCGCAUGGUCAGCAGUUGGAAAGAUUUUUCGGUCUGGGAUGGGCUCACGGCCUAUCAGCUUGUUGGUGAGGUAAUGGCUCACCAAGGCGUCGACGGGUAGCCGGCCUGAGAGGGUGACCGGCCACACUGGGACUGAGACACGGCCCAGACUCCUACGGGAGGCAGCAGUGGGGAAUAUUGCACAAUGGGCGAAAGCCUGAUGCAGCAACGCCGCGUGAGGGAUGACGGCCUUCGGGUUGUAAACCUCUUUUAGCAGGGAAGAAGCGAAAGUGACGGUACCUGCAGAAAAAGCGCCGGCUAACUACGUGCCAGCAGCCGCGGUAAUACGUAGGGCGCAAGCGUUAUCCGGAAUUAUUGGGCGUAAAGAGCUCGUAGGCGGUUUGUCGCGUCUGCUGUGAAAUCCCGAGGCUCAACCUCGGGUCUGCAGUGGGUACGGGCAGACUAGAGUGCGGUAGGGGAGAUUGGAAUUCCUGGUGUAGCGGUGGAAUGCGCAGAUAUCAGGAGGAACACCGAUGGCGAAGGCAGAUCUCUGGGCCGUUACUGACGCUGAGGAGCGAAAGGGUGGGGAGCAAACAGGCUUAGAUACCCUGGUAGUCCACCCCGUAAACGUUGGGAACUAGUUGUGGGGUCCAUUCCACGGAUUCCGUGACGCA